rnacentral:rRNA from 1 species
AUGCACGCUGGCGGCGUGCCUAAUCCAUGCCAGUCGCGCGAACAGACGAGGAGCUUGCUCCUCUGACGUUAGCGGCGGACGGGUGAGUAACACGUGGAUAACCUACCUAUAAGACUGGGAUAACUUCGGGAAACCGGAGCUAAUACCGGAUAAUAUAUUGAACCGCAUGGUUCAAUAGUGAAAGACGGUUUUGCUGUCACUUAUAGAUGGAUCCGCGCCGCAUUAGCUAGUUGGUAAGGUAACGGCUUACCAAGGCAACGAUGCGUAGCCGACCUGAGAGGGUGAUCGGCCACACUGGAACUGAGACACGGUCCAGACUCCUACGGGAGGCAGCAGUAGGGAAUCUUCCGCAAUGGGUGAAAGCCUGACGGAGCAACGCCGCGUGAGUGAUGAAGGUCUUCGGAUCGUAAAACUCUGUUAUUAGGGAAGAACAAAUGUGUAAGUAACUAUGCACGUCUUGACGGUACCGAAUCAGAAAGCCACGGCUAACUACGU